rnacentral:rRNA from 1 species
CCCUUAGAGUUUGAUCCUGGCUCAGGAUGAACGCUGGCGGCGUGCCUAACACAUGCAAGUCGAACGGUCGCAAGACAGUGGCGGACGGGUGAGUAACACGUAGCUAACCUGCCUCAAAGAGGGGGAUAACGGUUCGAAAGAGCCGCUAAUACCGCAUAAGCUCCCGCCUAAUAGAGGGGUGAGAGAAAAGUUCCGGCGCUUUGAGAGGGGGCUGCGGCCCAUCAGGUAGUUGGUGAGGUAAUGGCUCACCAAGCCGACGACGGGUAGGAGACCUGAGAGGGUGAUCCCCCACACUGGGACUGAGACACGGCCCAGACUCCUACGGGAGGCAGCAGUGAGGAAUAUUGGUCAAUGGGGGCAACCCUGAACCAGCAACGCCGCGUGGGUGACGAAGGUUUUCGGAUCGUAAAGCCCUUUUGCAGGUGACGAGGAAGGACGGUAGCCUGCGAAGAAGUGUCGGCUAACUACGUGCCAGCAGCCGCGGUAAAACGUGGGACACAAGCGUUAUCCGGAAUUACUGGGCGUAAAGCGCCCGCAGGCGGUUGAGUAAGUGAUUGUUGAAAGCGCCCGGCUAAACUGGGCGAGGAGCGGUCAGACUGCUGAACUAGAGGGUGAUAGAGGCGUGUGGAAUUCCGCGUGUAGUGGUGAAAUGCGUAGAGAUGCGGAGGAACACCAGAGGCGAAGGCGGCACGCUGGGUCACACCUGACGCUGAGGGGCGACAGCACGGGGAGCGAACGGGAUUAGAAACCCCGGUAGUCCGUGCCGUAAACGAUGUGCGCUAGAUGUGCGUGAAGGGAAACCUUUGUGUGUGUCGAAGCAAACGCGGUAAGCGCACCGCCUGGGGAGUACGGCCGCAAGGUUAAAACUCAAAGGAAUUGACGGGGGCCCGCACAAGCAGCGGAGCGUGUGGUUUAAUUCGAGGCUACGCGAAGAACCUUACCUGGGUUUGACAUAGCGAUGAACGACCGUGAAAGCGGGAGGGUCCUUCGGGAGAUCGUUACAGGUGCUGCAUGGCUGUCGUCAGCUCGUGUCGUGAGAUGUUCGGUUAAGUCCGAAAACGAGCGCAACCCUCGGCGUGUGUUACACGUGUCACACGCGACUGCCGUCGGUAAGGCGGAGGAAGGUGGGGAUGACGUCAAGUCAGCAUGGCCUUUAUAUCCAGGGCUACACACACGCUACAAUGGGCGGUACAGUGGGAAGCGAAAGAGCGAUCUGGAGCGGAUCCUCAAAGCCGUUCGUAGUUCGGAUUGUAGGCUGCAACUCGCCUGCAUGAAGUUGGAGUUGCUAGUAAACGCGCAUCAGCACGGCGCGUUGAAUACGUUCCCGGGCCUUGUACACACCGCCCGUCACGUCAUGGGAGCUGGUCAUGCCUGAAGUCGAGAAGGUAACCGCAAGGGGCCUAUUGCCGAAGGCAGGGCGGGUGACUGGGACAAAGUCGUAACAAGGUAACCAAGGGC